UUCUGCCAACACCAUGUUUGAGAUGGAGUGGCGUGGCCGGCGGGUAGCACUCAAAGCCAGCAACGGGCGCUACGUGUGCAUGAAGAAGAAUGGGCAGCUGGCGGCUAUCAGCGAUUUUGUCGGUGAGCACUCUGCCUGCCAGGUACUGGGGCAGGGGCUGUCUCCACCCAGGGAAAGGACCUGCCCAGACACCCCAUCUCCACCAAGAGCUGGACCCUCCCCAGCCCACGGAACGGGUGCUGUCAUGGAGUCAUACUUGCUAGUCAAGAUAACUCGUCUUGGCAAGGGAAACAGGUCUGAAUGUCCUUAUCUCCGCUGCUGGGAACCCCCUAGGCGCCUUGCCAAGGCCGCACAUGAGGCAAUGGCAGGCCUGGGUCCCUAAGUCCAGGUGUGGCGUUUCCCAGGGCCCCCACCCCGCCCGGCCUGGACAGGGAAGGUGGCGGGAGGGGCAGCGCAGCAGACGCUCUCCCCGCCAGGCAAGGACGAAGAGUUCACCCUCAAGCUCAUCAACCGGCCCAUCCUGGUGCUGCGCGGCCUGGACGGCUUCGUCUGCCACCACCGCGGCUCCAACCAGCUGGACACCAACCGCUCCGUCUACGACGUCUUCCACCUGAGCUUCAGCGACGGCGCCUACCGGAUCCGAGGCCGCGACGGAGGGUUCUGGUACACGGGCAGCCACGGCAGCGUGUGCAGCGACGGCGAACGCGCCGAGGACUUCGUCUUCGA
rnacentral:lncRNA from 1 species